GCACUCCCCAGCUCCUCCUGGAGACUGGGGAGUGCAGGAGAAAGCACUCGUUUUACUCUAUUUACACUUACUGCAACGCUCUUCUCCUUGCAUCUUCCAUUGUGGCUUUUCCUAACGUCAGUCCCUACUUACACGUUAUGGGCACAGAUGCCACACUCGUUGUCAUAAGUAAAUCCGUCUGUGCCGCAGACUGGGAGCAGGAUCCGUGGGCAGCGUACCAUACGUUUACCACCAUUAAAUGUUCUUGCUGGGUAUUGACUGCAGU